rnacentral:misc_RNA from 1 species
UACGGAGGGUGCAAGCGUUAAUCGGAAUUACUGGGCGUAAAGCGCGCGUAGGCGGCCUGUUAAGCUGGAUGUGAAAUCCCCGGGCUCAACCUGGGAACUGCACCCAGAACUGGCAGGCUAGAGUACAGUAGAGGUGAGCGGAAUUUCCUGUGUAGCGGUGAAAUGCGUAGAUAUAGGAAGGAACACCAGUGGCGAAGGCGGCUCACUGGACUGAUACUGACGCUGAGGUGCGAAAGCGUGGGGAGCAAACAGG